GAUGAACGCUGGCGGCGUGCCUAAUACAUGCAAGUCGAGCGAACGGACGAGAAGCUUGCUUCUCUGAUGUUAGCGGCGGACGGGUGAGUAACACGUGGAUAACCUACCUAUAAGACUGGGAUAACUUCGGGAAACCGGAGCUAAUACCGGAUAAUAUUUUGAACCGCAUGGUUCAAAAGUGAAAGACGGUCUUGCUGUCACUUAUAGAUGGAUCCGCGCUGCAUUAGCUAGUUGGUAAGGUAACGGCUUACCAAGGCAACGAUGCAUAGCCGACCUGAGAGGGUGCUGGGCCCCCCCUGACCCGCCACCCGGUCCGACCUCCUCGGGGGGGCAGGGGUAGGAACUCUUCCGCAAGGGGCGAAAGCCUCCGGGAGCCCCGCCGCGUGAGUUAUAAAGGUCCUCGGUUCGAAAACCUCUUUUUUUCGGAAAACCCUUUUUUGUAAGUAAUUUUCCCACUCUUGCCGGUCCCUAUCAAAAAGCCCCCGCCUACCUCCGC
rnacentral:rRNA from 1 species